rnacentral:tRNA from 1 species
GCCAUGGCUCAGUGAUAAAGCAUUGGCUUUCCAUGCAGAAGGUCCCAAGUUCAAUCCAUGGAACCUGCA